rnacentral:rRNA from 1 species
GAUGAACGCUGGCGGCGUGCCUAAUUCAUGCAAGUCGAGCGAACAGACGAGGAGCUUGCUCCUCUGACGUUAGCGGCGGACGGGUGAGUAACACGUGGAUAACCUACCUAUAAGACUGGGAUAACUUCGGGAAACCGGAGCUAAUACCGGAUAAUAUAUUGAACCGCAUGGUUCAAUAGUGAAAGACGGUUUUGCCGUCACUUAUAGAUGGAUCCGCGCCGCAUUAGCUAGUUGGUAAGGUAACGGCUUACCAAGGCAACGAUGCGUAGCCGACCUGAGAGGGUGAUCGGCCACACUGGAACUGAGACACGGUCCAGACUCCUACGGGAGGCAGCAGUAGGGAAUCUUCCGCAAUGGGCGAAAGCCUGACGGAGCAACGCCGCGUGAGUGAUGAAGGUCUUCGGAUCGUAAAACUCUGUUAUUAGGGAAGAACAAAUGUGUAAGUAACUAUGCACGUCUUGACGGUACCUAAUCAGAAAGCCACGGCUAACUACGUG